rnacentral:rRNA from 1 species
UACGUAGGUGACAAGCGUUGUCCGGAAUUACUGGGCGUAAAGCGCGUGUAGGUGGUGGGACAGGUCUGCUGUGAAAGCGCCUGGCUUAACCGGGCGAGGUCGGCGGAAACUGUUCGACUCGAGGACGGUAGAGGGGGGUGGAAUUCCCGGUGUAGUGGUGAAAUGCGUAGAGAUCGGGAGGAACACCUGUGGCGAAGGCGGCCCCCUGGGCCGGCCCUGACACUGAGACGCGAAGGCGUGGGGAGCGAACGGG